GAGCAAUGAUGAAAAUGUUUCCUACUGACCUUUAUUACUAUGAAGGAUCUACACUUGAUCUGAGCUCA